AGUGAACGCUGGCGGUAGGCCUAACACAUGCCAGUCGAACGGCAGCACAGUAAGAGCUUGCUCUUACGGGUGGCGAGUGGCGGACGGGUGAGGAAUACAUCGGAAUCUACUUUUUCGUGGGGGAUAACGUAGGGAAACUUACGCUAAUACCGCAUACGACCUACGGGUGAAAGCAGGGGAUCUUCUGACCUUGCGCGAUUGAAUGAGCCGAUGUCGGAUUAGCUAGUUGGCGGGGUAAAGGCCCACCAAGGCGACGAUCCGUAGCUGGUCUGAGAGGAUGAUCGGCCACACUGGAACUGGGACACGGUCCAGAGUCCUACGGGAGGCAGCAGUGGGGAAUAGUGGACAAUGGGCGCAAGCCUGAUCCAGCGAUACCGCGUGGGUGAAGAAGGCCUUCGGGUUGUAAAGCCCUUUUGUUGGGAAAGAAAAGCAGCAGGUUAAUACCCCGCUGUUCUGACGGUACCCAAAGAAUAAGCACCGGCUAACUUCGUG
rnacentral:rRNA from 1 species